rnacentral:rRNA from 1 species
ACGGGGGGGGCAAGCGUUGUUCGGAAUUACUGGGCGUAAAGGGCUCGCAGGCGGUUUCUUAAGUCUGAUGUGAAAGCCCCCGGCUCAACCGGGGAGGGUCAUUGGAAACUGGGAAACUUGAGUGCAGAAGAGGAGAGUGGAAUUCCACGUGUAGCGGUGAAAUGCGUAGAGAUGUGGAGGAACACCAGUGGCGAAGGCGACUCUCUGGUCUGUAACUGACGCUGAGGAGCGAAAGCGUGGGGAGCGAACAGGA